UACGGGGGGGGGCAAGCGUUGUUCGGAAUUACUGGGCGUAAAGGGCUCGUAGGCGGCCAACUAAGUCAGACGUGAAAUCCCUCGGCUUAACCGGGGAACUGCAUCUGAUACUGGAUGGCUUGAGUUCGGGAGAGGGAUGCGGAAUUCCAGGUGUAGCGGUGAAAAUGCGUAGAUAUCUGGAGGAAUACCGGUGGCGAAGGCGGCAUCCUGGACCGGCAUUGACGCUGAGGAGCGAAAGCUAGGGGGAGCAAACGGG
rnacentral:rRNA from 1 species